CACGUAGGGCGCAAGCGUUGUCCGGAAUUAUUGGGCGUAAAGAGCUCGUAGGCGGUCUGUCGCGUCUGCUGUGAAAUCUGGGGGCUCAACCCCCAGCCUGCAGUGGGUACGGGCAGACUAGAGUGCGGUAGGGGAGAUUGGAACUCCUGGUGUAGCGGUGGAAUGCGCAGAUAUCAGGAAGAACACCGAUGGCGAAGGCAGAUCUCUGGGCCGUAACUGACGCUGAGGAGCGAAAGCCAUGGGGAGCGAACAGG
rnacentral:rRNA from 1 species